CCCACGGCUUUUAUUAAAGCCAAGUCUGAGAAACAAAGAAGCAUAAU
rfam:Gallus gallus isolate RJF #256 breed Red Jungle fowl, inbred line TCD001 chromosome 2, whole genome shotgun sequence.